AACGAACGCUGGCGGCAGGCUUAACACAUGCAAGUCGAGCGAGGACUUCGGUCCUAGCGGCGGACGGGUGAGUAACGCGUGGGAACGUGCCCUUUGGUUCGGAAUAGCCCUGGGAAACUGGGAGUAAUGCCGAAUAAGCUCUUCGGAGGAAAGAUUUAUCGCCAAAGGAUCGGCCCGCGUUGGAUUAGGUAGUUGGUGGGGUAAUGGCCUACCAAGCCGACGAUCCAUAGCUGGUUUGAGAGGAUGAUCAGCCACACUGGGACUGAGACACGGCCCAGACUCCUACGGGAGGCAGCAGUGGGGAAUCUUGGACAAUGGGGGCAACCCUGAUCCAGCCAUGCCGCGUGAUCGAUGAAGGCCUUAGGGUUGUAAAGAUCUUUCAGCUGGGAAGAUAAUGACGGUACCAGCAGAAGAAGCCCCGGCUAACUCCGUGCCAGCCGCCGCCGUAACAC
rnacentral:rRNA from 1 species